UAUUAGCUCCGUGUGUCACAUCCAUUGUGUUACUCCAACAUCAUUAUAUAAUAUAAUGAUGUUGGAGUAACACGAUGGAUGUGACACACGGAGCAUGC
rnacentral:sRNA from 1 species